rnacentral:misc_RNA from 1 species
ACGCAUAUGAGCCGCCGGGGGCUCGGGAAAAACCCGUAACCGUAGGCGUCGUCCCACUAGGGGGGGCGGCUUCCGAAAGUUAACCCACUGUGAAAACCCCUGUUGCUUCGGCAGCGCCUCCCCGUCCGCGGGGAGGGUCAGCCUGCCGACGGCACCAUUAAAAACUCUUAUGAAAUUCGUAAAAAAAACACGUCUGAGAGCGCAGUCGAAUGACACUUA